rfam:Pteropus alecto contig166890, whole genome shotgun sequence.
GGCUCCACAGUGUAGUGGUUAGCACGUCUGCUUUACACGCAGAAGGUCCUGGGUUAGCGCCCCAGGUGGAGCCA